UGCAAUGCUGCAGAGGUCGAAUCCGGAUGGCGAGUCGGAUCAAGAAAACUGAAAACGAACAGAAAACGCAGCAGGGGUUCAUUCGUUGCCAAGCAGUGGAGGAGGGAGGAGCUGCCUGGGUGUUCGUCUGUUUGGCUUCGUGUCUUGUACUACUGAAGUCCUAUACAGCCUGGGACAGUAAACACUUGCUGGGAAGGUGAUGGAAUGCUGAUGGCUAUUUCGAUGAGAACGAACAAAAAUCGUAGGAGGGGUCUGGUUUGCCAUGCGGCGGACGAUGACGGAGCGGCCCGAGUUAGUGCCUGAACACAUGAUGGAAAGAAAGUAACGUAUGGUAUAAUACAAGUGGAACGACAGCAAUGGGAACAGUAGAUACAGUCGCUGUACUUUGGGCCAGAGUCCAGUAACACUCAGGAUCAAAAUGAGAAGCAACGACAUCGACAACGCCGAAGAAUCGUGGAGACGGUCUCUGUCGCCUGUGGAGUGACGCUCUCUUCCAGUCAUUCCUUGUGUGUCAGACUUGUGGUCUUGCAGUGUUGCGAAUAACAAGCUUCCUAGUGUUCUAAGACUCCCCCACCACAGUUGACUGAACUUUGAAUUUUUUUUCUUUCUACAGGUUUUCUUUCUACAUGAAAACCUGUUAUUUUUUUUCUAAAAAAAUCUUCUACAGGUUUUCUUUCUACAUGAAAACCUACAGGUUUUCUUUCUACAUGAAAACCUGUUGUGGUUUUUCUCCGUUCUCCGGAGAGUCUUUGAGGUAUCGGAAGUGAGGAAUACGAACAUCGUGUUUUCGGAAUUCACUUUUAAUCCAUAGUAAAAGGAUAUUCUGCCAUGUAAAAAAAAAUAACCAUGCAAAAAAUAAAAAUUACCUUGCUUUUUUA